rnacentral:lncRNA from 1 species
AUCUUAUGCUUUCAUGUGCUUUCCUACUUAGGUCUGGAUCCCUCCAAUACGGCAUAAAGUCUACAAAAGCAAGUGCCUUGUCUGCUUAUUCACACUGAUUCCCUGGCACUGGAACAUUGUACCCAGUAUGACUCAUUCUGAACACUGAAAAGAAGGGAACAUUGAAAAUAAAUUUUCAACGCAGGAAAUCACAAAUACAUUGGGGAACUCAUGGACUCGGGAUACAGGCGGGCAUUGCUGGUAAUCAAGCCCUUGAUUCAAGCUCUUGAUAAUGGCACCUGUCCUGGCUAUACGGAGGCCUGACGUCGUUUCUUGACUGGUUUGCCUCCUUCUCUGACUGCAACCUCCUUGAGGGAAGAAACUGACGCUGUUGGUGGUGGAGUAGAAAAACAAAAAGAAUGGAGGUCCUUGAUGGCACUGCCAACCAACCCUGAAGUCUGUCUAACCUCUGAACUACCAGGGCUUCAAGGACCUGGGCACAUGAACAAAACCAUUGGAGGAUGGAGCCUGCCUACUCAGCCAAGUUCUAGCCUUGUGAAGGCAGCCAUGAGUCACCAGCUAAGAAUCCUCAAAUUACCUGUACUGAUGGGCCAGGAAUGUGCACAGUACCCCCCAGGGCUCCUGGUAAAAGGGACCUCCUCCUGCAAAGCCUGGCUUUCCUCUGCAGCCCUGACACCCUGGGCAUGCACCAGAAUAGUCCAUCCUCUUCAAAGGUGCAAACCUUUGCAGCUAGCCAGUGAGAAAGAGAAAAGCAGCCUCUGGCAUCUGGCAGCCAGCCUGGUGCUACCAUCAGGCCUUGGUGUUCUCCUGCUGAACGUGAACAGUCACAGAACAUCAACAUCAAGCAAAGCCACUCUGCGGUCGUGAUGGAUGAAGACAAAAACUAAACCACUCUAGAUCCAUGUCUGACUCCCAGCAGAACACGAAUAUUGUCCAAACCACAAAAUAUCGACCAUCCCCUCUUCUGACUAAUGUGAGUGACACCUGUUCUUUAGCAAGUACGGCUUUAGCCUUGGUCCAGGGGAGAUUUAUUGAGAUACCCAAAGAUAGAAUUACCUCACCCCUGCUUCCCGCAGCAGCUGGUUCAGAGCAAAACUCUGCUUCCUUAAACUUUCCCCCAAAUCACCAAAGCACAAGCCCAAAUCCUAUAAAAGUUCUUUCUAGCUCCCUCUUACUGAGCUGCACCACAGUUCCCCAUGGUGUGCAGUUUUUUUUUUUUUUUUUUUUUUUUUAGCCUCAUUGCAACAAGCAAUAAACUCAACUUGUUCAGCUGUAAGUG